rnacentral:rRNA from 1 species
GACGAAGGAUGCAAGCGUUAUCCGGAUUCACUGGGUUUAAAGGGAGCGCAGGCGGAUUGGUAAGUCAGUGGUGAAAGGCUUAAGCUUAACUUGGGAACUGCCAUUGAUACUAUCAGUCUUGAAUGUUGUUGAGGUUUGCGGAAUGGGUCAUGUAGCGGUGAAAUGCAUAGAUAUGACCCGGAACACCUAUUGCGAAGGCAGCAGGCUAAACAAAUAUUGACGCUGAGGCUCGAAAGCGUGGGGAUCAAACAGG